CCUACGGGUGGCAGCAGUGAGGAAUAUUGGUCAAUGGACGAGAGUCUGAACCAGCCAAGUAGCGUGAAGGAUGACUGCCCUAUGGGUUGUAAACUUCUUUUAUAUGGGAAUAAAAUGUUCCACGUGUGGGAUUUUGUAUGUACCAUAUGAAUAAGGAUCGGCUAACUCCGUGCCAGCAGCCGAGGUAAUACGGAGGAUACGAGCGUUAUCCGGAUUUAUUGGGUUUAAAGGGAGCGUAGGUGGAUUGUUAAGUCAGUUGUGAAAGUUUGCGGCUCAACCGUAAAAUUGCAGUUGAAACUGGCAGUCUUGAGUACAGUAGAGGUGGGCGGAAUUCGUGGUGUAGCGGUGAAAUGCUUAGAUAUCACGAAGAACUCCGAUUGCGAAGGCAGUUCACUGGACUGCAACUGACACUGAGGCUCGAAAGUGUGGGUAUCAAACAGGAUUAGAUACCCCUGUAGUC
rnacentral:rRNA from 1 species